AUCUAUGCCGGUACCGCCCCGAAGGCGCCCCAUCUCGCCUGAGCUAGGAAGCUAAGCAGGUUGGGCCUGGUUAGUGCUUGGAUGGGAGGAUGACUUGGGAGCAUCUUCA
rnacentral:rRNA from 1 species